rnacentral:rRNA from 1 species
UACAGAGGGGGCAAGCGUUAUUCGGAAUUAUUGGGCGUAAAGGGCGCGUAGGCGGCAUGGCAAGUGGAUGGUGAAAUCCCUCGGCUUAACCGAGGAACUGCCGUCCAAACUGCUUCGCUUGAGACCGGGAGAGGUGAGUGGAAUUCCCAGUGUAGCGGUGAAAUGCGUAGAUAUUGGGAGGAACACCAGUGGCGAAGGCGGCUCACUGGCCGGUACUGACGCUGAUGCGCGAAAGCGUGGGGAGCAAACGGG